rnacentral:rRNA from 1 species
AGGCCUAACACAUGCAAGUCGAACGGUAACAUGAGAGCUUGCUCUUGAUGACGAGUGGCGCACGGGUGCGUAACGCGUAUGCAAUCUACCUAUAACUGAGGAAUAGCCCAGAGAAAUUUGGAUUAAUACCUCAUAAUAAUAUUUUUUGGCAUCAUUAAAUAUUUAAAACUCCGGUGGUUAUAGAUGAGCAUGCGUUCUAUUAGCUAGUUGGUGAGGUAAAGGCUCACCAAGGCUACGAUAGAUAGGGGGCCUGAAAGGGUGAUCCCCCACACUGGUACUGAGACACGGACCAGACUCCUACGGGAGGCAGCAGUGAGGAAUAUUGCACAAUGGAGGAAACUCUGAUGCAGCCAUGCCGCGUGCAGGAUGAAUGCCCUAUGGGUUGUAAACUGCUUUUUUACAAGAAGAAACGUUGGUACGUGUACCAAUUUGACGGUAUUGUAAGAAUAAGCACCGGCUAACUCCGUGCCAGCAGCCGCGGUAAUACGGAGGGUGCAAGCGUUAUCCGGAUUUAUUAGGUUUAAAGGGUUCGCAGGCGGAAUUUUAAGUCAGUGGUGAAAGCCUAUAGCUCAACUAUAGAACUGCCACUGAUACUGAUAUUCUUGAGUGUAGAUGAAGUGGGCGGAAUAUGUCAUGUAGCGGUGAAAUGCAUAGAUAUGACAUGGAACACCAAUUGCGAAGGCAGCUCACUAAACUAUUACUGACGCUCAUGAACGAAAGCAUGGGGAGCGAACAGGAUUAGAUACCCUGGUAGUCCAUGCCGUAAACGAUGAUCACUAGAUGUUGGCGAUAUACAGUCAGUGUUUAAGAGAAAUCAUUAAGUGAUCCACCUGGGGAGUACGUC